rnacentral:lncRNA from 1 species
UAAUUUAAAAAAUGAUAGCAGAAGAAGAUAACCUUACCACGCGAACUGCAGAGUACCUAACGCAGGGAUCGAAGUCUCGAAGCAAUUGAACGGCGCGUCGGUAACACGUAUCGAUCAAGCCAACGUCUUUUAACUCUCCACCGCGCUCAAUGAAUUGAACGAGCCCUUCAAGCGCCGCGUCUAUAACGUAAGGGUAAGGAUCCUUCGUGAACCCCAGCAGCACCACCAACAGCGAGCCAGGUCGGACCUCAAAACUCGAACCUGCGUUCCGGAGCAUCCACACGCGGGCGGACACGGAGGCGCUGAAACACAGCGACGUGAAGCACUCAUCGUCUAGAUGGAGGCCUGAGAGGGACGCGUCGAUGGCCUCCACAGCGAGACGGGGGAGUACUCGGCGAUCGGAAGACUAAUGGUGGUGGUGAGGUUGGUGUGGCGAGAAGCGCCGUAAGAGAGGAGCUUGAGGGAGUGAGUAGUGUGGCGUGGGGAGCUGGUUAAGGUUUGGAGGAUGUGGGAGACAGUGCGUUUUGAUGUACAAGGGUGGAGGAGGAGGGACCUCAUGGUGCAGAGGGUGCGGAGAGAGAGGGUUUCGUUUUCUUCAGAAGUUUUGGCUGGAUUGGCCAUCGGUUCCAGUGAAGUUACUAAAUAACCAGUUGAGCUUUCAACUCAUACUUGAUUCUAAAUCGUCUUUCUCACAAGUGCGAGCUGGGUUUUACGGACAUACCUGUUCUACUCAUUUAUCCCAACACAUUUCCACGGACCCUUAAUGUGGUUGGGUCUUACUACACUGGGGAUAGGGGUGGACAAAUUGCAUUAUAGUAUACUGCACUAUAGAAGUUUAUAGUUAACUAUAAACUAGUAACUCUGCUCUUGCAAGUAAGAACUAGUCAGUUCUACCAUACUCUCAACAAGAAAAAUAUAAAUCAAUCUUUUUCUGGAAUAUCCCAGUAAUAAGCUCUAAUACAGUGUACAAUCACAUUUCUGUUAAAAUAUAUAAAUUAUAAAUAAUUUUCUCUAAAAGACGAAAUUUGAUAUCCAAAUUAGUGUAUAGUUAAAAACUAAACAGUUGUUCAUCGGAAACUGGAAUCUGUCAUAAAACUAGCUAGUCAAAGUUCUUGAAAGGUAUUUUCUGAUGAUAACUAAUUUUAAUCACCGAUCAAUGAGAAAAAUUAAAAUUGUGAGAACAAAGCUGCCAAAAUAUAUUAAUAGAAUUAUCCAGACGACUGGAGAAACCCAACUAGAUUCUUUGUAGGCAACCCAGACCUGAUAUUGCAUGAAUAGUUAGAAAUAGGAUACCUAAACUGAUCCAAAACAAAAUUAAUGAAAUUAAACUUCGGCAUUAUAGAAUUGAACAUACUCAAGUUGAAAUGAGGAUAAACAAAGAACCCUUUUAAUAUAACAAACUCAAGAACUCAUCCUAAACAUAAAAAAAUCACAUAUAACAGAAGAUUCAAUAACCAGUACCCCUUUACAUCAUGAACCAACUUGAGAACAUAUUCAAUAAUUUAUAAUCACAUGUCCAAAUUAAACAAGGAAGUUAAGUCAAAGUUGUCCCAUACAUCAAAUCAUUGGAACAUCAAAUCAAGUGAUAACAUACAAAUACUACAAAUUCUUGAGCUGACCAAGAUGUGGAACAAGUUGACCAGAAAAAGCAGCAUUCCCCAUAUCACUGACAUCAAAUUGAACACACUUCAAGAACUAAUUAAAGCAACACGACAAACUGCUGUAAACAAAAAAUUACACUUCAAGAACAUACCAUAUAGGUUGGAGAAAUAUACUUCAAACACAAAAAUCACUGAUCACAACUAAACAAAAUUGUGCUGAUCAACUAUAUGAAAGUUUAAACAGCCAAAAAAAUUUGAAGGAUUCUGCAACUAACGGGCAACACAAGGAUCAUAAGAUAGAAAAUCCAUGAUGCAUACAGAGUCAUCACCAUCACAUUCAGGAAAAAAGUGUAAACUACCAAGAAUUUUGCGUAAGCAUAAAUGCCAUGUUGCCGCUGAAUGCAUAAUUUUGAACUGUUAGUACCUUUCUGAAAGCUUUACAUUGCUACAGGUAAUCGUGUUAGCAUUCUACCAUCUCAGAUUUGACAGACAUAACAGAAGAAAACAGAAAACAUCAAUUGAAGUAAAAACAGAUACAAAAGUACAAACAUACAUUUCAAGAAGAAAACUACAAUCCUUGAUCAUGAAAGACGUGCAAUUAGAUACCUAAAAUUAAGGCAAAACUUAAAAUCCCUUGAUCUUGCAGCUAGACCAAUCAUACAGGUGACAUAACAUAAAAAAUUAACAAAAAGACACAGAGGAAAAGGACCAUAUGAAGUCACCCACCAAGGAGUGCAGAAACUUGUCGGUUUCUUUGUUAUUUAGCAUGUGAUUGUAUGCAAGAUAAAAACUGAGUUAUAUUUAAUGUAUGAAUUAGCCUAAUAAUCUAUGUGUAGUGUUUUAUAUGGUCCAUGGUUUCCUUGUUAGUUGAUUAAUGUUUUGCUUGUAAUAUGUUUUGAUCUAACAUAACAAAAAGAAAACAAUUCAAAAUUGUUGUAUAAAGCUUUAGUUACAUAAACUUCCAUGUGGUUCAAAACCAUUAAAGGAAUUUGAUGGCAGUUAUAUACAGAUGUAGAUCAGCAUUCUAAUAGAAUAAAUGAGUAUCUUUAAAACCAUGAGGUAAGUUAUCUUCCAUAGUCUGCCAAUUUGAUUGAUAUACAUGUAUGACCAUAAUUAUACAAUUUUUAAUGUUCUAUAAAAGUAAAAUAGAAACAUUUGAUCGGUUAUAGAAACAUUUGUUGUGCACAUUAUUCCCCUAAAAUACCCAAGUUCACCUAAAAGAGUCGUCUUAUGGAUAAUAUGCCGAGUAAAUCCUAGCAGCUACAGCCCAGUUUCAUCCCUCGGCAACUCCACAACUAGAUUCAGCAGGAUUACCUCAAGAAACCUCAUCUGAUCCAUUCUACACCAGUACUUAUGCAAUUUCUCAUAAUUAUAUUAGUUUCAGUUUCACUAGCUCAUUGGAUGGAAUCAAUGUAAUUGCAAGUAACAUCGGUUUGUUCAUGAGACCUUUCACAUAAUAGUUGUUUGCAUGAGUUAUGACUGUAAAAAGAUCCUUAUCCUUCCAUUUUUAAUUUGCAUGAACGCCAUAAAUAUAACUGAGAGGGUGUGUCUUAUCAUUGGAUACAAACGAAUGAACUCGAUUACCAUUUUCAAUCCAGCUGCAACCAGGGACUCUUGCAUCACCCUUCUUCCCCAUCAUUCCACGAACUCUUUCUACAUCACACCAAUGUCUAUGGGAAGCAUAAAUGUUAGACAUGACUGCAUAGUUUACACUCUCCUCUGGUUCUAUGAUGAAGAGCCUUUCUGCAGCCCAUUUAGCCAGUUCUAUAUUUGCAUGGAUAUUGCAGGAUCCUAUAAAUGCUCCCAAUGUAUUCGAUUCAGCUUCCAUUGGCAGUGACCUUAAGAAUUCAAAAGCUUCAUUUAUAAGACCAUAUCUUCCAAGAAGAUCAACAAGGCAGGUAUAAUGCCCUGAUUCAGGAACAAUCUGAUACACACUGGUCAUCAAGUUAAAGUAGUGAAGCCCCUUAGCCACAAGCCCAGAAUGAGAACAAGCACAGAGAACACCAAGAAAAGAAAUCUGAUCCGGAAUUACUCCACAAGAUAGCAUCUUCUCAAAUGUUUCAGUUGCUUCCUUGGCUAGACCAUGGAAUGCAUAUGCACUUAUCAAUGAACUCCACGUAACAAGAUCAGGUUCUGCAGCUAAUCUGAAGCAUUGGCUUGCAUUAGCUAUGCUACCACACUUGGAGUAAGCACUGAUCAGAGAAUUAACAACAGAUACAAAUUCUUGAAAUGAGGAUUUAACUGCAAAAGCAUGGACUAGCAUUGUUUCAGUAAUGGCACAAGUAUAGCCACAUGAACUAAUAGUGCUGGAAAUAGUUAGUUCAUCAGGGGAAACCCCUUCGUGAAGCAUCUCUUUCAGAAGCUUCAUAACCUCAUUCCCUUCUCCACAAUUCCCGCACCCAACGAUAAUGGUGUUCCAAGCCACAACAUUUCUAAUCACCAUCCUAUCAAAUGUUUUGUGUGCGUCAGUUAUAUUUUCAUUUUUCGCAUACAUGUUAAUCAAUGCAGUAGCUACUGACACAUCUGAAUCGAAUGAUUGUUUCAGAAUGUGCCCAUGAAGCUGCCUUCCAAAAUCAUAAUAGUCCAGAGUAUCACACACACUAAGCACAAUGCUAAAAGUGAACUCAUCUCCAUUUCCACAAUCUGAUCGCAUCAAGUUGAACAUUCCCAGAGCCUCUUCCGGUGAACGAUUCAAGGCGUAGCAUGAAAUCAUCACAUUCCACAUAACCAAAUCUCUUUGAGGAACAACAUGAAAAACCAUCCUUGCGUUCUUAACCAAGCCAAAUUUAGCAUAUAAAUCAAUAAGAACACUUCCAACAAAACAAUCCAAAUCAAGUCUCAGUUUCACUGCAAAACAAUGCAACUGGAAACCCAAGUCAAUAUCACGAAACUUUAUGCAAACACCAAUGAGACCAUUCAAAGUUGUACUGUCCGGAACCACCGUUUCCAACAACAUUCUUUUGAAAUAAGAAAAACAGAGCUGUGGAUUCGAGUCAUUUUCAACUGCAUUGCCACAUCCAAGAAUGCCCCGAAUUAGAAUGUUCCACGAAACCACAUUUCUCACGGGCAAUUCUUCAAACAGUUUCUGUGCAUCUUUAGUUUCUUUACACUUCAGAUAAAGACUCAAAAUCUGAUUUUGCAGGGACAGAACAUGGCAAAAUCCAAACUUUAUCAAAUGUGCAUGCAACUGUUUUCCUUCAGGAAAAAGAGCCCAUUUGGUGGAGACUUUGAGGGCGUUGGCAUAAAAUAAAUGAACAGUGC